AUUGAACGCUGGCGGCAUGCCUUACACAUGCAAGUCGAACGGCAACAGGUCUUCGGAUGCUGACGAGUGGCGAACGGGUGAGUAAUACAUCGGAACGUGCCUAGUAGUGGGGGAUAACUACUCGAAAGAGUGGCUAAUACCGCAUGAGAUCUACGGAUGAAAGCAGGGGAUCGCAAAACCUUGUGCUACUAGAGCGGCCGAUGGCAGAUUAGGUAGUUGGUGGGAUAAAAGCUUACCAAGCCGACGAUCUGUAGCUGGUCUGAGAGGACGAUCAGCCACACUGGGACUGAGACACGGCCCAGACUCCUACGGGAGGCAGCAGUGGGGAAUUUUGGACAAUGGGCGAAAGCCUGAUCCAGCAAUGCCGCGUGCAGGGUGAAGGCCUUCGGGUUGUAAACUGCUUUUGUACGGAACGAAAAGCCCCGGGUUAAUACCCUGGGGUCAUGACGGUACCGUAAGAAUAAGCACCGGCUAACUACGUGCCAGCAGCCGCGGUAA
rnacentral:rRNA from 1 species